ACUGACUUUUAGUUCAUGUAAACAUCCUACACUCAGCUAUAACAACUGGAACGGCUGGGAGGUGGAUGUUUACUUCAACUGAUUUGAAAAGG
rnacentral:pre_miRNA from 1 species